AUUGAACGCUGGCGGCAGGCUUAACACAUGCAAGUCGAGCGAGUGGCGGACGGGUGAGUAAUGUCUGGGAAACUGCCUGAUGGAGGGGGAUAACUACUGGAAACGGUAGCUAAUACCGCAUACCAUCAGAUGUGCCCAGAUGGGAUUAGCUAGUAGGUGGGGUAAGGGUUCACCUAGGCGACGAUCCCUAGCUGGUCUGAGAGGAUGACCGGCCACACUGGCACGUGGACACGGUCCAGCCUCCUACGGGAGGCAGCAGUGGGGCAUAUUGCACAAUGGGCGCAAGCCUGAUACAGCCAUGCCGCGUGUGUGAAGAAGGCCUUCGGGUUGUAAAGUACUUUCAGCGAGGAGGCGUUACUCGCAGAAGAAGCACCGGCUAACUCCGUGCCAGCAGCCGCGGUAAUUC
rnacentral:rRNA from 1 species